rnacentral:lncRNA from 1 species
AGACAAAGCCUUAUCUGAUCCUAACAAGGGUUGUAAUGGACCUAAAGAAGGAGAAUCAGAAGUCCAAAGGAGGUUCUAAGAGGGUGAGAUCAGGUUCUUAAAGAAACUUGAUUGGUACGAGGCUAGUCGAGUUCUAGGAGCUAGAACUCUUGAAGCAAGGUGAAGAAGGAGCACUGUCUUUGGUUUAAUUUUUGUAUGGAUCACCAU